CUAGCGUUGUUCGGAAUCACUGGGCGUAAAGCGCACGUAGGCGGAUCUUUAAGUCAGGGGUGAAAUCCCGAGGCUCAACCUCGGAACUGCCUUUGAUACUGGGGAUCUCGAGUCCGGGAGAGGUGAGUGGAACUGCGAGUGUAGAGGUGAAAUUCGUAGAUAUUCGCAAGAACACCAGUGGCGAAGGCGGCUCACUGGCCCGGAACUGACGCUGAGGUGCGAAAGCGUGGGGAGCAAACAGG
rnacentral:rRNA from 1 species